AUGACCUAAUUUCAUCCAACUAGGCCCCAUCUCCUGGGGUUUCCCAUUAGUUCUAUAGGUUCCUGCCCAAGCCUUUGACACAUGGGCCUUCCAAACCAUAGCAGUUAUCAAGAAGGACUCCCAGAUCCUUCAGCAAUGAAACUGAAAAAAUAUGGCGGUCAUAGAGAAAGGAUUAGCAUUUCAAUGAAGAAUGCCAACAAAACAUCAGUUAUUUGCUUCUAACAAUAAAUUGAAGAGGAAGUUUCA